ensembl:lncRNA novel transcript
GCAUCAUGCAGGUCUUCUGGCCAGAGCCCCAGUGGGUGCCCAUGGAGGCCCUCAGCAUGCCCAGCGUGGCUUGAUCACCUGCCUGUCCAGCUCUGGUGGGCCAAGAACUCACCCAACAGAAUAGGCCAGAGAACACUUAAAAUCUACUCUUAGCAAUUUGCAAGCAUACAAUAUAAUUAUUUUCAAUAACUAUAGUUAUUAACUAUAGUCACCAGAUACAACAGACCUCUUGAGUUCAUUGCUCCUCUCUAACUGAAAUUUUGGGUACUAAUUGUCCAGUGAAAAAGACUCAAACACAGAUGCUAAAAGAAAUGGAGCUUUGAAUAAUCCACUGGUUUGGUUACUUUUUAUAAUAGCUGAUUUGUCAAUUAUCCCAUAACUAAGCCACUCAACUAAAUUCUAAGUUACCAAUAGAACUGAAGAAUUUGUAUAUCAAAAUCACAUACAGCAUGUAUAAACACAUGACCCCUUAGCUGUGAGUGUGCACAUGUGCCUUAAAGUGUAUCACUCUAACUUUUUUGGGUAUUUAUUCCAGAAUUAUCUGUUUUUAUGGUCUGAUUGCUUUUCCUGGACCCUUUCUAUUUGAUUUUUAAGGAAAAAAAAAAUACAGGGGAGGGAUGUUAAAAGAGAAAAAGUAAUUCAUUGAUUACCAAACAUACUGGGGAAUUCCCAUUGUUUAAAUGUAAAAACAAUAUACAGCUCACAGAAUGCCACAGUUCAGGGGAGGAAAAACUGAUAUGUGUUGAGAUUGAAAAUGAUUCCUUUAUAAAUGAAGUUGACCAAAAUUUCCAGCAGGACUGUUGCCUGAAGGAAAGUUCCUGGGCUCCAGCCUCUGUUAUGCCUAACAAUGAGCCAUACAAGUCUGGACAGAUGGUUGGAUUCCAAAGCGUUUCUCAUGUUACAGUAUUUUCUUCCUAUUGUCUCCUCUGAAUUCUACAGAGAAAAGGGAAAAUGCUGUGACUUUCAAAAAGUAUGAAGAAUGUCUUCAGUACAUUUCUGGGGAAUUGCAAGUACUAAACAUGAAUUACCUUGGAAAUCUCUUCUUCUUUUUAGAAAUGUUGUCUUGGCUAAAAUAUGGUUUCUUAUUGUGGAUGAUAUGAUUUAUCUAACUUACUUUUAUAUGUAGAAAUACAGAAUAGAUGCAUUUA